rnacentral:rRNA from 1 species
AGUGAACGCUGGCGGUAGGCCUAACACAUGCCAGUCGAACGGCAGCACAGUAAGAGCUUGCUCUUACGGGUGGCGAGUGGCGGACGGGUGAGGAAUACAUCGGAAUCUACUUUUUCGUGGGGGAUAACGUAGGGAAACUUACGCUAAUACCGCAUACGACCUACGGGUGAAAGCAGGGGAUCUUCGGACCUUGCGCGAUUCAAUGAGCCGAUGUCGGAUUAGCUAGUUGGCGGGGUAAAGGCCCACCAAGGCGACGAUCCGUAGCUGGUCUGAGAGGAUGAUCAGCCACACUGGAACUGAGACACGGUCCAGACUCCUACGGGAGGCAGCAGUGGGGAAUAUUGGACAAUGGGCGCAAGCCUGAUCCAGCCAUACCGCGUGGGUGAAGAAGGCCUUCGGGUUGUAAAGCCCUUUUGUUGGGAAAGAAAAGCAGCAGGUUAAUACCCCGCUGUUCUGACGGUACCCAAAGAAUAAGCACCGGCUAACUUCGUG